ensembl:lncRNA
CCCAGCUCUGUGACUUUCCUGCUGUGUGACCUUGGGAGGUGCUUUGCGGCUCUGAGCCGGUUUCCUCUUCUGAAAACCCAUAAUCAUAACUGCACCUCUUGCAGUGAGGAGGCAAUGUGGAACGCGGAGCCCGGCACUUGGCAAGUACUGGGGAAGGGAUUAGGAAGGGCAGGAGUUACAUCACUCAUUUCUUUUUACAGCUGAGAAAACAAGCGGAGGAGGCUCAGGGAGGCCCGCCCGCCCAAGUACCUUUCCCUAUCUCCGUGGCCCGUGGACCCCCGAAGGCUGCGUGGGGCCAGGGAACAAGUGGCAUGGCCGAGGCUGAGCCCAUGGGGCUGGAAGGGUUAACGUGCUCCGCCGCAAUGGGCCGGCCUCCGGGGGAACCAGCCAAUGGGCACGCGCCGCGAUGAGCCUUACAGCCGCAGAAACCUGUGUGCUGGACCCUUAAGGUCUGCAGCAUAUGAACCUGGAGAGAGGUCCUGCCUCCUUUGAGACUCAGUUUCCCCUCUUGCAAGAAGAUCGCUGAAGACGCGACUAGCUGGUGAACAUUCUUGGAUCCCAGAACGGUUUUCGGCCCCUCCCCGCCGUUGGUCCACCGUAGAGCGGCCACGACCCUGGCCCUGCCUAGGCAGUGUACAGCGCACUGGGACAAGGAGUUCUCCCGGGCAAGCGGAAGGAGCCUCGCCAGCCCGUCACCCCCUCCAUGCGGGCCCCAGAGCAUCGUCCCCUCCCUAUCCCUGGGGUGUCUGCGACUUCUCUUCGCUGCCCUCAAGGUCCCAAGUUAGCUGCAAAAGCAGCUGGACAGGCCAGUCUAGUGGUCACAGGUCAAAGUUCAUUGAACCACCAAAAUUAAUCGAGCAUCUACUACGUGCAGCUCAGAGCUCGGCGGGCUUCGGGGGCUGUCCGCGACCCGGGCACCCAUUCCCCGCUGGCCUGCUGGGGGCCCGCGCACCGGUUCUGGGCACGAAGCGGUUAAACCUUUCUAGCCUAGAAGCUGGCUCUGCUGCUGAGGCCCAGGCUUAUUAGUCAG